UUUUUUUAUGGCCGAGUUAGGCAUCAGAUUUUUAAUUUGACUACGGGUUACCCUG
rnacentral:tRNA from 1 species